ensembl:lncRNA
CAAAUCAGGCUAAUUCUGCUUUUCUUUAAAUCUUAAAAACAAGCCAUAUUACCCAAAUAUUAUCUUUGAGAAUGCUGUGAAAGAUGGAAGGCUCUUGACUGCAUUUGUAAAGAUUCAUAUUCUUCAGCCAGAAGGCAGAACCUGCUCAAAAUCAAGGUAAAAUCAACCAUGAGGAUGGCAGAAGGAUUUGAAAGAAGAUACAUCCAAUCAAAUUUUCAGAACCAUCAUAAAUUUGAUUUCUAACAUGAUGCAUGAUGGACAAGUGUGUGAAAAGGUUAAGGCCUGUUGCAGGCAAGAAGACCGAUAAGUCAGCCUGUGGAAGUAGAACUGAAGCCCAGAACAUAUGAACAGGUAAUCAUGGC